GAUGAACGCUGGCGGCGUGCCUAAUACAUGCAAGUAGAACGCUGAAGGAGGAGCUUGCUCUUCUGGAUGAGUUGCGAACGGGUGAGUAACGCGUAGGUAACCUGCCUGGUAGCGGGGGAUAACUAUUGGAAACGAUAGCUAAUACCGCAUGACAACAGUUAUUGCAUGAUAACUGUUUAAAAGGGGCAACUGCUCCACUACCAGAUGGACCUGCGUUGUAUUAGCUAGUUGGUGAGGUAACGGCUCACCAAGGCGACGAUACAUAGCCGACCUGAGAGGGGGAGCGGCCAGCCUGGGACUGAGACACGGCCCAGACUCCUACGGGAGGCAGCAGUAGGGAAUCUUCGGCAAUGGACGGAAGUCUGACCGAGCAACGCCGCGUGAGGGAAGAAGGUUGUCGGAUCGUAAAGCUCUGUUGUAAGAGAAGAACGAGUGUGAGAGUGGAAAGUUCACACUGUGACGGUAUCUUACCAGAAAGCGACGGCUAACUACGUG
rnacentral:rRNA from 1 species